rnacentral:lncRNA from 1 species
UGUCUUGAGCUCCAUCACUGAAGCAAAACAGGAAGGAUCGUCUGCAACCAGAGGAGUGUAUUCCCCUGCGCAAAACAGGUAAAUGUUUAAAACUUUUACUGCCAUUGAAAGCUUUAUGGUUAGGUAGUUAAUGUGUUUGGUGUGUUUGCAUUGAUGUUGUUAGUUAGGUUAUUUAAAACUUGUUGUAGUUAAAUGACUUUCUUUGGUUUGAAUUGCCGAUAAUAAAUUGUUUGCUUUAGUUUGAAUUGUCUAAAUUUGUGGUUGAUUAUGGUUGUGAAACUGUAAUAAAUGGGAGUUAGAUAAAUGUCAACUCGUAGACUCUCCUUAAAACUUCUUCCUUCUCAUCUAUCUAAAACAGAUUCCUAUCUGUUUUUUCUCUAUUCUUUAACCUCGGAAAUGGAAUUUAAUCCGUUUACUGAGCCUUCAAACUUUGUUGACCUGCUUAGCAGUCAACAGAAUGUGGUCUUUGGUAAUGUACCCGAGUCACAGCUUCCCUUCUUUGCUAGUCAAGCCACGCACGAUUCGAACAUUGGUGAAGAGACUCAAGGCAGCCGUAAGGAGAGGAGGACGUGGUCUCCAACUGACGACAUUGUGCUCAUCAGCUCGUGGUUAAACACGAGCAAAGAUGCAGUAGUGGGGAAUGAACAGAGGUCUAUUGCAUUCUGGAAGCGAAUUGAUGUGUACUACAACGCUAGUCCCAAGCUUGUUGGGUGUGAAAAGCGAGAGGCAGCUCACUGUAAGAAUCGUUGGCAGAAGAUAAAUGACCUUGUUUGCAAGUUUUGUGGAGCUUUUGAAGCUGCGACCAGAGAGAGAACCAGUGGGCAAAAUAAAACUGAUGUUCUCAAACUGGCCCACGAAAUCUUCUUCACCAAUUAUAAAAAAAAAUUCACGCUUGAGCAUGCUUGGAAAGAGUUGCGUAAUGACCAAAAGUGGACUGAGUUGUCUACGGCUAAAGCUGAGGGAAGCUCUAAAAAGAGGAAGAGUAUGGACGUUUCUCACUCUGCAAGCUCUAAAGCAAUUGAUGUAGACUCUGGUGAUGAAGCAACAACUCGUCCCCCUGGAGUUAAGGCAUCAAAAGCUCGUUCUAAGAAGCCAAUUGGUGAUGCAAAGGACUACGAAGAGUUUCAGUCAAUGUGGUCUAUGAAGAAGGAGGAUUUGACUAUAAAGAAGGAGCUGUCUAAGAUCAAGCUUCUGGAGACUCUCAUUGGUAAAGAAGGACCACUCGCGGAUUAUGAAGAAACUUUGAAGAAGAAACUCAUUAAUGAGUUAGGGUAUAAUUAAAAUAAGUCACUGUUUGUCUUGCUUGUGUUGCUUUUCUUGCUUGUGUUGCUUAAUUAAAAUAAAUCAUGUAUGCCUCUGUUUCUAUUUAAUGAGUAAAAUGUUCUCUUAGUGAUUUUAAUCAUCUAUGCCUCUGUUUCUAUUUAAUGAGUAAAAUGUUCUAUAGAAUGUUUACUGAUUGCUGUAAUGAACUUGUGUCCUACUGCAGGUGACUUGUCUAGUCUUGUAGUCUUGUGAAGUCACGGACAGUCUUGUGAAGUCACGGAGGAGGCUUCUUGUGUAGUUGUGAAGUCACGGACAAUAACGAGUGGAGGAGGCUUCUUGUGAAGUCACGGACCUGCAAAAGUGAAAUGUCUAGUGUUUAAGGCAUGUGUAGUGUCUUGUUUGUAUGCAUAUGUCACGGACACACUUCUCAUUGUUUAUCUAUUUUGUAACUCACUUGUAUAAAUUAGACACGCUUCUCAUUGUUAUAACAAACACAAGACCAUCUCCUCUC